GAUGAACGCUGGCGGCAUGCCUUACACAUGCAAGUCGAACGGCAGCACGGGAGCAAUCCUGGUGGCGAGUGGCGAACGGGUGAGUAAUAUAUCGGAACGUGCCCAGUCGUGGGGAUAACGUAGCGAAAGCUACGCUAAUACCGCAUACGAUCUAUGGAUGAAAGCGGGGGAUCGCAAGACCUCGCGCGAUUGGAGCGGCCGAUAUCAGAUUAGGUAGUUGGUGAGGUAAAGGCUCACCAAGCCGACGAUCUGUAGCUGGUCUGAGAGGACGACCAGCCACACUGGGACUGAGACACGGCCCAGACUCCUACGGGAGGCAGCAGUGGGGAAUUUUUGGACAAUGGGCGAAAGCCUGAUCCAGCAAUGCCGCGUGAGUGAUGAAGGCCUCGG
rnacentral:rRNA from 1 species